rnacentral:rRNA from 1 species
CGUGGCGGCUGCUUACCAUGCAGUCGAACGAUGAAGACCGGUGCUUGCACUGGUUGGAUUAGUGGCGAACGGGUGAGUAAUACGUGAGUAACCUGCCUUUGACUCUGGGAUAAGCCUUGGAAACGAGGUCUAAUACCGGAUACGACUAACCUUCGCAUGAAGUGUUAGUGGAAAGGGUUUGUACUGGUUUUAGAUGGGCUCACGGCCUAUCAGCUUGUUGGUGAGGUAAUGGCUCACCAAGGCGACGACGGGUAGCCGGCCUGAGAGGGUGACCGGCCACACUGGGACUGAGACACGGCCCAGACUCCUACGGGAGGCAGCAGUGGGGAAUAUUGCACAAUGGGCGCAAGCCUGAUGCAGCGACGCCGCGUGAGGGAUGACGGCCUUCGGGUUGUAAACCUCUUUCAGCAGGGGAGAAGCGAAAGUGACGGUACCUGCAGAAGAAGCGCCGGCUAACUACGUGCCAGCAGCCGCGGUAAUACGUAGGGCGCGAGCGUUGUCCGGAAUUAUUGGGCGUAAAGAGCUUGUAGGCGGUUUGUCGCGUCUGCUGUGAAAGCCCGGGGCUUAACUCCGGGUUUGCAGUGGGUACGGGCUAACUAGAGUGCAGUAGGGGAGACUGGAAUUCCUGGUGUAGCGGUGGAAUGCGCAGAUAUCAGGAGGAACACCGAUGGCGAAGGCAGGUCUCUGGGCUGUAACUGACGCUGAGAAGCGAAAGCAUGGGGAGCGAACAGGAUUAGAUACCCUGGUAGUCCAUGCCGUAAACGUUGGGCACUAGGUGUGGGGGACAUUCCACGUUUUCCGCGCCGUAGCUAACGCAUUAAGUGCCCCGCCUGGGGAGUACGGUCGCAAGGCUAAAACUCAAAGAAAUUGACGGGGGCCCGCACAAGCGGCGGAGCAUGCGGAUUAAUUCGAUGCAACGCGAAGAACCUUACCAAGGCUUGACAUAUAC